CGCGUCACCGCCGGGCCCCGGGCCCUGCCCGGCCUCCAUGGCCGCCCUGACCCGGAACUGCGCGCGGCGCCGCUGGGGCGCGCUGCGCAUGCGCGGAGCGGUGAGUCCCGGUGAGGGAGGGCCUUCCCGGCACGGUUGGUUUCAGGGAUAACACGGUUACAGGGAUAACGCGGGCAUGGCACUGCUCGACUUGGUGACCGGCUCGUUGGUCUUGAUAGAGGGUAGUAAAGUUUUUGUCUGCUCCUGCAUUGCUCGAAUAGGUAUGUUGCCCACAGGUUUGUUAACCGGUUGCCAAAGAUGCGUGGCCAGAAUUUCCUGAAACGAAAGGGUCUCUUGCCUAUAAAAAGAGCUUAUCUGAAUCAGGACUAAGCAAGGGCGUGGUGGGCAACUCUGAGCUCGAAAGUGAUACAAAUUUGGUGGUUAGGAUUGUGUUGAAGUGGAAGACUAGGAGGGUGCUUGCCUCUAGCUGAUGCUGUGGAAAUGGUAGCUUUAGAGAGUGCUUGCUGUUUAUACAAAUCAGGAAAAGCUGAGGGAAAAAAUAAAAAUAUGUUUUGGUAGUGCAGUGUAUGCCUUGGCAUUUUUUUGUAAAUAUGCAGUACUAUGGCUUGAAUUCACCACAUCCUGAUGUGCCCAUACUUGCUCAUGGAAUGCACCACUCCCUUUUAGCCAUUCCUAGAGCAAGCUUUACCCUGGAAUUUAGCACACUUAUUAAGGCAAUUUAUUUCAUGCUUUUUCUCUUACGUUUCAGUACAUUCUAGGCAAAGAGUACAAUGGGUUUUUAAAGCCUACACUUCUGUGGGGUAGGGCAUGUUUAGGAACUGCACAUCCUCUAAACAUGGAGCUUCAAUGGGGAGGAAAUGGCAAUCAGUCUCCUUCACUGAAGAAAAUAACGAGCUGCUGUUUUGCUUCUCCGUUGUAAAAUUAAUAGUUAUCCAUUCAACUUUCUCACUUCACUGUCUUCAAGUCCCUUAGACUUCUAAUGGGAAAAAAUAAUUACAGUCAUACAGCAAACUGUACUUUGCAAAACAAAGUUACUGGUGAAUAUUCAGAACUCUUGAAGCCAGAGCUCAAAGAAUAAGUAAGUGGUUUCUGCAAGUUGAUGUACAUAUCUGCCUUAAGGAUGUGCAGCCCAUGGACAUAAGUAGUUUAGCAUGAAGGGACUUUUUACUCCAAAAAACCUAGAAUUGUACAAAGCGUGUAACAGAACUUUGAACUUCUCCUACCAGAAACUAUACCAACUGUUGUGCUGGUGCAUUUGUUGUUUGUAAAAAGCAUACUUUUCACUCAAUUCUGGUUUUGUUGAAUAUGCUUAUUAUAAUACGGUACUUGCAAGACAGGGUUAUGUUUAAUAUUGGGAAAAUGGUGACUUAGUAGUCUUUCUACUAAUGUUCCGCAGAUCUUGUGUUAUCAUGCUCGACGUGUAUUUAUUUUUCCUUCUUCCUUUCCUUUGUUUUUUUUCAAGCCUGGAAGCUUUGAGGCUAUUCAACAGAAAAUAUAGUUACUUUUUAACUACUUAAAAUGU